UGAGAAACUGCCUCAUGGUAGCCUCCCAGG
rnacentral:piRNA from 1 species